CACCCGGGGAGCCAACUUUUGUUUCUGGGUACGCCAUACCCACUCAUGAGAACAUAAGAAGAAGACAACACGGAUGUAGAACGGGGAGUGCAAGUAAAAUAUAUAUAUUACAUUCCUUCUUCGUAGACGAAUUCUAGUUAGUUAAAACCAGAGAUUGAGAUUCUUUUGACAAUAAUAAUUCCGCUACUACAAGUCUACAAAAAUUUAUAAAUUACAGUCUUUGAAUUCGUUUCUUUCUGAGUGUUUAACGGCGGCGGCAGUGGAGAUUUUGGGGGCAAUUGAGAAAGUAGUAGCUGAGUACCAGGAGGAGAUAUCCCGAUCUAAAGAGGAGAUUGAUAGUCUACGGAGACAGCUAAGGAUUACACCGGAGAUAAAACUAUGUAGAACAGACUCCCAGCAGCUCUCUCUACCUGUCUCUGAAGAGGUUCCCUUUGAGCAACAACACUGUGCGCAGGAGUGUUACCCCACUCGUGGACAGGAGGAACCAGGGCCAUCACAGAUUAAAGAGGAAAAGGAGGAACUCAGGACCAGCCAGGAGGAAGAGCAGUUUCAAGGACUGGAGGGUAAUACCAUAGAGUUUAUAUUUAGUGGUCCCUGUGUAAAAAGGGAAUGGGAUCAUGAGGCCUUAAGCCGCAGCUCAACUGUAAUUAGUGACCAAGUAAAUAGACCACCAUUGGAUCCCAAACCACCAUUGGGGGCACACUGUUCUGAACUCAGCACCAUGUCUAAAAAAUCUCACUACUGCGGCAAAGUAUUUGCUCUGAAAGCUGACCUUCAGAGGCAUGUGACUCUCGCCAGGGAGAGACCUAUUGAAUGCCCCUACAACGCCACAUGUAAACUGAAGGCCCAUGUCCCACUCUGUCACGGUGGGAAACCCUGCCCUGUUUGUGGCAAGACCUUUAAAAACAAAGACCAUCUAUCCCAGCACAUGAGGAUUCAUACACAGAACAGCCAAUUUAGCUGUGGUGACUGCGGAAAAAGUUUCUAUAGCAAGGGGCUGCUGAACGUGCAUAUACAGACUCAUAAAGGAGAGAAACCAUUCAUCUGUGGAUACUGCGGGAAAAGCUUCUAUCAGAAGGGGAAUCUAAACCAACAUUUACGGACUCACACAGGAGAGAAACCAUUUAGCUGUGGUAUCUGCGGAAAAAACUUCAGUCGAAAAACGCACCUGAACAGGCAUAUCCUGACUCACACGGGUGAGAAACAGCAUGGCUGUUCUGUGUGUGGUAGGAGAUUCGCUGAGAAUGCUGACCUGCUGAAGCAUGUGGAUAAAGUCCACAAAUAACAAAACCAGGAUCAAAACCGAAUGGAGAAAGACAACCAGGACACAGACAUCUAUCAGAAGAUGGGAAUCAAAAGGGCAGGAUAUGGACAACACCAAACUGGAUCCUUCAUGCUGUAGGUUUGAAAUGAAUAGACCUACCCCGUUGAAACAUUAGCCAAUUAACAAUUAGGUUGUUUGUUUUUGAAUGUCUCAGUCAGGGUGAAGAGAGAAUUUUCAGACUGUUUAUACAUUAAAACAUUGAACUUUCCAGAAAAUGGUAUCCUUGAAUUUGAGUAUUUAUCUUGACCCAAUGGUCCAUUCUGUCCUAAUGCUGCUCAUCCAUGAUAUUGUAGCGAUAUAUCGUAGUUGGAAUACUUUUGCGGUGAAACUGCCACGUCCAUUGGUGAUAUUACAACAGAUGUUACUUCAAUGACUAACACUGCUUUUUUUUUUCUCACGGACAUUGUUGCACACUUGAUAGAACAGCAGAGUAUUUUACCACGAUGUUAAAUAAAUAAACAAAACAAUAACAAAUGUGCCUGUAGCAACCAGUUGCGCUGUUUCACCUUUCGCGGAUCUCAGCUUUAACCCAACACCUAGCAACCUCUUGGGACCUCUUGGUGUAACAGUUAAGGUGUUGGCUUGACAGUCGCUAGACCCCAGUUCGAGUAUCAUUGUGUAUUAAAGGCUCUGUCCCUUUAACUGUACACUCCUGUGUGUGCACCUUCUAUUUAUUAUGUAUUGUAAUGGAAACUGUUUACCAUUUGAAAAACCAAACAGAGCAAAGGGAACAAAACAGGGAGGGACCUAUCUAAAUGUGUCCAAUGAACUCUUGUUUUUGUUGCAAAAUGUUUUCAGUUUGUAGUAAACUAAUCGGCUUAAUGAAUA